rnacentral:lncRNA from 1 species
CUGACAACUCACUUAUCAACGAAAAGGAUUUAAACCCCUCUGAAUAAAGGUCUGCCAACUCGCCCAACUUAUAAAAAUAUCAUAUGCUUCCUUUAAGUAUGUUAAAUUACUGAUAGUUCGUAUCCAGUCGUCGUGGUGUAGUGGUAUGUGUGUUGGCUUGAUAUGCUAAAGGUCUUGAGUUCUAAUCUCAGCAUAAACACUGGAUUUUUUCUACGUAAAUUUUGAUAGAUAGUCUUUUCCGUAUAAUUGAUUAUA